GGGUAGAGUGGCCCGAAAGUUAGGCGGCAGGCUGUAGUCCUGCUUAUGUGGGUUUUAGUCCUAUUUCUAUC
rnacentral:tRNA from 1 species